rnacentral:rRNA from 1 species
GACGAACGCUGGCGGCGUGCUUAACACAUGCAAGUCGAACGGAAAGGCCCUGCUUUUGUGGGGUGCUCGAGUGGCGAACGGGUGAGUAACACGUGAGUAACCUGCUCUUGACUUUGGGAUAACUUCAGGAAACUGGGGCUAAUACCGGAUAGGAGCUCCUGCUGCAUGGUGGGGGUUGGAAAGUUUCGGCGGUUGGGGAUGGACUCGCGGCUUAUCAGCUUGUUGGUGGGGUAGUGGCUUACCAAGGCUUUGACGGGUAGCCGGCCUGAGAGGGUGACCGGCCACAUUGGGACUGAGAUACGGCCCAGACUCCUACGGGGGGCAGCAGUGGGGAAUAUUGCACAAUGGGCGGAAGCCUGAUGCAGCAACGCCGCGUGCGGGAUGACGGCCUUCGGGUUGUAAACCGCUUUCGCCUGUGACGAAGCGUGAGUGACGGUAAUGGGUAAAGAAGCACCGGCUAACUACGUG